GGUGUUCAAGUUUUACAGAGAAUUUAUAGGUAAGAACCAUAAACCCCUUUUCCUUCCUCUAUUCAAGUUAAAGCCUUAAAACACCAAUCUUCACUUCUUCUCAUUUGGUAAAUUGCAUGUGAGUUUAAUGAAAUUGAGAUACUCUGGAAAUAUAUCAGGAGCAAUGAACAUGGAUACAAGAUGGAAGCUUUGGAAUUUUGAUUGGUGAGUUUUGAAGAAAUUUGGUUUAAACCCGUGUUCUUUGGAAUUCCGAUUGAGAUGUCAUUUGUUUUUGUGGUUAGCUAACUUAAUUCCGGUCGUUGUGACGCCAAUUUCAUAAUUUUGGGUUAGGAAAUGAAGUCUAGGGACAUUUAUGAAGUUGAGGUACUGAAGCUGUCAAGUUGGUGUGUUUUGAGGACUAUGGGUUUGGGUACUCAAGCGGAACAAACAAAUGGUUUUAGGCUUGCGGAAUAACACCGUACUGCUGUUAAAUCAGGUGAGUUCCUUUAGGUAAACUCUCACUUAAUAGAGUAGCUUUAUUAGCUUUUCCCCAAAUUCAUGAUGCAUAUAACUUAGGAUUUUAGG
rnacentral:lncRNA from 1 species